rnacentral:tRNA from 1 species
GGUCCUGUAGCUCAGUGGUUAGAGCGAUUGUUUAUUGGACGUCGGCCGUGGGUUCGACCUACGCCGGGGCUA